GAAUUUCGAGGAAUUCCAGGCAGUUGAGGUGAUUCCGGCACGUGGACUUAACUACCUGGAAUUUUUGAUUCAUGAUUUUAUUUUUUUUGUAAUUCCAGGCACUUGAGGCAGACAAACAAACAGUUCGGUUCCAAUUUCCUAAAAUUAAACAAAAAAUUGGAAUCACGACUAUAUAGUGCCUAUAAUUUUGGCAUAUUUUUAGGAAUUACAGGCAGUUGAGAUAAUUCUUAGUCAUAGAUUCAAGUGCUUGGAAUUCUUGAUUAAUGAUUCUAUUUUAUUUACAAUUCCAGGCAAUUAAGGCAGUUGAGGCAGUCAAAGAGCUCAGUAUCUAUUGCUUGAAAGUAGAAAAUAAACAAGGAUUUACGAUUGUAUAGUUCCUAUAAUUUGGGGGAAAUUUAAAAGAAUUCUAGGCAGCUGAGGCAAUUAAGGCAAUUAAACAACUCACUCAAUUGCUUGUGAUUGGAAAAAAAACAGGAUUUACGACUGUCGAAUCACUAUAAUUUGGGGAACUUCGAGGAAUUCCAGACAGUUGAGGCACUUGAGGCAGACAAACAAACAGUUCAGUUCCAAUUUCCUAAAAUUAAACAAAAAAUUGGAAUUACGACUAUAUAGUGCCUAUAAUUUUGGCAUAUUUUUAGGAAUUACAGGCAGUUUAGAUAAUUCUUGAACAUAGGUUCAAGUGCCUGGAAUUCUUGAUUGAUGAUUUUAUUUUAUUUACAAUUCCAGGCAGUUAAGGCAAUUCAACAACAACUUUUAAUUGUUUGGGAUUGGAAAAAACCCAGGAUUUACAAAUGUAGAAUCCCUAUAAUUUCGAGAAUUUUGAGGAGUUCCAAGCAGUUGAGGUAAUUCCGGCUCCUGCUCGGGAACAACUGUCUGGAAUUCUUGUUUCAUGAUUUUAUUUUAUUUGUAAUUCCAGGCAGUUGAGGCCGACAAACAAACAGCUCUGUCCCAAUAACCUUAAGAAAAAAUAUUAAAGAAAAUCGUAUGUUUACAGUUUGUAUUCAUUUAAAAGAACUUUUGGUAAUUUAUUUUUGGAAGAAUCAAUAGGUUGAGGUAUCUUGUUGUUUAUUAUUUAUUAUUUUAAA